UACGGAGGGAGCUAGCGUUGUUCGGAAUUACUGGGCGUAAAGCGCACGUAGGCGGCUUUGUAAGUUAGAGGUGGAAGCCCGGGGCUCAACUCCGGAACUGCCUUUAAGACUGCAUCGCUUGAAUCCAGGAGAGGUGAGUGGAAUUCCUAGUGUAGAGGUGAAAUGCGCAGAUAUCAGGAAGAACACCAAUGGCGAAGGCAGCUCUCUGGGACGGUACUGACGCUGAGACGCGAAAGCGUGGGGAGCGAACAGG
rnacentral:rRNA from 1 species